CCUACGGGAGGCAGCAGUGGGGAAUAUUGCACAAUGGGGGAAACCCUGAUGCAGCGACGCCGCGUGAGCGAAGAAGUAUCUCGGUAUGUAAAGCUCUAUCAGCAGGGAAGAAAAUGACGGUACCUGACUAAGAAGCCCCGGCUAACUACGUGCCAGCAGCCGCGGUAAUACGUAGGGGGCAAGCGUUAUCCGGAUUUACUGGGUGUAAAGGGAGCGCAGGCGGCGCGGUAAGUCUGAUGUGAAAGCCCGGGGCUCAACCCCGGGACUGCAUUGGAAACUGUCGUGCUGGAGUGUCGGAGGGGCAAGUGGAAUUCCUAGUGUAGCGGUGAAAUGCGUAGAUAUUAGGAGGAACACCAGUGGCGAAGGCGGCUUGCUGGACGACAACUGACGCUGAGGCUCGAAAGCGUGGGGAGCAAACAGGAUUAGAUACCCCAGUAGUC
rnacentral:rRNA from 1 species